rnacentral:rRNA from 1 species
CCACUUAACCUCCCCCUGGUUUGGCGUUCCGUUGUCCCCUCCCCGAAACCGACGUUUUCGUAACAAAAACGGGGCCCGGGGGUAACUUUUAACCUUUAACGGGGGAAAACGGACUGGGUAACGGAAACGUACGAAACGACGUACUAGGAAGUUAUAGGGGGUAGGGGCAGGGAAGGGUAACUUCCGUGGUUGAGGCGGUAAGAAAUGGACGUAGGAAGAUCGAAGGGAAGAACACGUUCGGGUCGGACGGAAGGCGCUCUGCGUCGACAAUACUGACACUGACGGAAGAANCGGUAGGGCGACAGNGGUAUAGACCUACCCAGUCUACUCGACCGUAAACAGUGAUACGUAGGUUGUUGUCUGUAUCCGGACCGACAGCGCGUGACACGUAGUAAUCNCCNCGGUGGGAGUCNCACACAGUGANAACUACGAAAGUAUCGGAGGGGCCCGCACAAGCGGUGGAGUAUGUGGUUUAAUUCGAUGUCGACGCGGCCG